rnacentral:ncRNA from 1 species
GUUUCUUAGUAAGAGGUGGUCUGACACCAUGCAGACCUGAGAUCAUACUCUUAAUGACCUGAUCUGGAUAAUACCAGCGUAGGGAACAAGAAACAUUCAGAG